UAUAGAUGGCGUCGCAGAGCAGGCUAUUCCGGAAAUUCGGUUGACGCGCUCAAGAGAUGGGCUGU
rnacentral:ribozyme from 1 species